rnacentral:lncRNA from 1 species
AUGCAGUCAACAAACUCAACAAUAUGGAAAACUCACCUGUGCGUGCUGGUUCAACCAUGUACUCAGAAGACUGAAGCAAAAGGAUUUCAAGAUAGAGGCCAGCCUGGACUCGAGGGAGAAACACUAUUUCAAAAAAAACAAAACCGAAAAAAAACCAAAGCAAAAGAAGGAGCACAGCAGCCCAUGGCUCCUCCUACACCUGUUUACUACCAUGUCCUCUACCGAAGACGUGGUGAAACCCAGGUCAGCUGGCAUGGAGAGACCUACUGCCUGGUUGGUGGCUACCGGAGCUAUGGGGAUGCUGCCAUCGCCACCCCAGUAAAGGUCAAAGAAGAGAAGCCAGAAUCCAGGUGGCCCGAUGGGGAUGCUUCCACUGUUACCCCAAUAAAGGCCAAAGCCGAGAAGCCAGUAUCCAUACAGGUUCUCAAAAGGCCUCGAUUUAUGGAAGAAUAUAACCAACAACUAGGGGGCCCUAGCCCCAAAAUUCGCCAGUUAAACAAUGGUGACAAGACUGAAGAAUGGCUCAGCGAUUCUUUUGAGAAGAUGGACAUCGGAGGAGAGAGCUAGUGCCUUCCACUGCCUUUUCUGAAGACAGAAACUGGCAAUCUGGCCAGAUCCCAACUCUGUCAGGAUCUCCCUUCCCUACCAACAACUGUAGGAAAGAGUCAGAAGCUGUGGUUGAAAGGAAUAGUUGCUUUGAGCACCCAGGGCUUCACCUGCUUGAAGAAGGAACCAUACUGUGCAAUCCAAGGAGUCAAAUGCAAAGCAGUCUCAUUGAGGCCUAAUAUACCAGCUGGACUCCUGACCUCAAUCAUUGCCAGCAAUCACCAGUACAAGUGAGGAUGAUUUAGGAUUCCUGAAGUCAGCAGGGGUUUACACAAGGAGCCUCAUGGCUGUGCUCUCAGGAACACCCCCAGAACUUUUACUUCCUUUCUUCCUGGCUUCUGAGAGAUUCCUACAAUUGAAUAAAAUAAUUUUCUGUAACAGUUUUUGACUGGAAAUCAGUUUGUCCAAGGCCACUCUCAAACUUCCAGCUCUCGGGCUGGGGAUUUAGCUCAGUGGUGCUGCUGCCUGCCUCACAAGGACAAGGUCCUGAGUUUGAUCCCUAGGACCAAAAAGAAGCCAACCAACUAAACAAACAAACAAGAACAACAACAACAAAAACCCCACAAAACUUCCAGCUCCCUCCAAGUACAUUCAUACACAGAAACGUGCUUUACUAAGGCCUUCUGAAUCCAAAUGGAAUCCGUGAUAACAGUCUCUAAUGGAGAGUCCCC